rnacentral:rRNA from 1 species
AUGAGGCAUCCAUCCCCGAGGGCAGCGAGCCGAACCUGGGCGGAGCCGCCGCCAGGGGGCGUACCGGCGAGGGGCUGCGUCCACCUUGCCGUCGAGUGCCUCCUCCCCUCCGGCCGCCCCGAUUCCCUCUUCAUCCUCCAGCUCCAGCCCAACCCCGACACCCCGGACGUCAAGCGGGCCUUCCGUCACCUCGCCAACCUCCUGGCCCCUCGGCGUGAUCCCCAUCCCCGGCUGACACCGCCCUUCGCGCCGUUGAAGAGGCCAUCGCCCACCUCUUCGAGAGCGCCUCCACCAGCGCCGGUUUCGCUCCUGCUGCUCCCGGCGGCGUCUCCGUCCUAG